rnacentral:rRNA from 1 species
AUGGUGGCACCGGCGGCGGAGGCGGUGGCGGUGGCGGUGGCCGGCCGCAAGACCUUGCCGGACGAGUGUAAGACCCUGUGGCAGAUCGCUGGGCCGGUCAUCCUCACCGGGGUCUUCCAGUUCCUCAUCGGCUUCGUUACCGUCGCCUUCGUCGGCCACAUCGACAAGGUCGAGCUCGCCGCCGUCUCCAUUGUCAUCGGCGUCAUCGAAGGCCUCGGCUUCGGGCUCCUGCUCGGCAUGGGGAGCGCCCUGGAGACGCUGUGCGGGCAGGCGGUGGGGGGCGGGCAGCUCCACACGCUGGGCGUCUACAUGCAGCGGUCCUGGAUCAUCUGCCUCGCCACGGCCGUCGCCCUGCUCCUGGUCUACAUGUUCACUGACCCCAUCCUCCGCCUGCUCCGGCAGUCCCCGGAGAUCUCGGCGGUGGCGGGGCGGUACGCGCGCUGGUGCGUGCCGCAGCUCUUCGCCUACGCCGUCAACUUCCCCAUGCAGAAGUUCUACCAGGCGCAGAGCCGGGUGUGGGUCAUGACGGUCAUCUCCGGCGCCGCCGUCGGCGUGCACGCGCUGCUCAACUGGGUCGUCGUGGCCAAGCUCGGCCGCGGCCUCCUGGGCGCCGCCAUGGUCGGCAACGCCUCCUGGUGGCUCAUCAACGCGGUGCAGUUCGUGUACGUUGUCGGCGGGUCCUUCCCGGAGGCGUGGACGGGGUUCUCGCGCAAGGCGUUCGCCAGCCUCGGCGGCUUCGUCAGGCUCUCCCUCGCGUCCGCAGUUAUGCUCUGCUUAGAGAUGUGGUACUACACGGCAGUAAUCAUUCUGGUGGGCUGCUUGAAGAACCCAGAGAUUCAAGUCGGGGCCGUCUCCAUAUGCACGAACUACAACAUCUGGACACUGAUGGUAUCCGUCGGCUUCAAUGCCGCAGUGAGCGUUCGCGUGGCGAACGAACUUGGCGCCAAGCACCCGAAAGCGGCCAAGUUCUCGGUCGUGGUGGCGGUGACCACGUCGGCCGCCGUCGGGCUCGUCACCCUCCUGGCGAGGAAGCAGCUGCCGAGGCUUUUCACCGACGACGAGCAGGUCGUCAAGGAGGCCGCAAAGCUGGGGUACCUUCUGGCUGCCACCAUAGGCCUCAACAGCAUCCAGCCGGUGCUAUCAGGAGUGGCCAUUGGAGCUGGGUGGCAGUCCUUGGUCGCCUGGGUCAACAUCGGCUGCUACUACCUCAUCGGCCUGCCCCUUGCAGCUGUCUUCGGCUUCAAGCUGAAGCUUAACGCAACGGGGAUUUGGGUGGGGAUGCUGAUCGGCACGGUUCUGCAGACCGUCAUCCUGUUUGUGAUCCUCUUCAGAACCAAAUGGCAGAAAGAGGCUAUGCUGGCAGAAGAGCGGGUGCGGAACUGGGGAGGAAACGUCGAGCUGCCGACCGUCCAAGAAGCAAGAUGA